GAUGAACGCUAGCGGAAGGCAUAAUACAUGCAAGUCGAACGGAUGUAGCAAUACAUUAGUGGCGCACGGGUGCGUAACGCGUAUGCAACCUACCUUCAUCAGGGGGAUAACUACCCGAAAGGGUGGCUAACACCGCAUAAUACUAUUGAGUGGCAUCACUUGAUAUUUAAAUCUGAGGAGGAUGAAGAUGGGCAUGCGUCUGAUUAGCUAGUUGGUGUGGUAACGGCGCACCAAGGCGACGAUCAGUAGGGGAACUGAGAGGUUGGUCCCCCACACUGGCACGAAGAUACGGGCCAGACUCCUACGGGAGGCAGCAGUAGGGAAUAUUGGUCAAUGGUGGGAACACUGAACCAGCCAUUCCGCGUGCAGGAAGAAGGGUCUCUGACCUGUAAACUGCUUUAGCAAGGGAAGAAAAAGCUCAUGCGUGAGAAAUUGACGGUACCUUGAGAAUAAGCACCGGCUAACUACGUGCCAGCCGCCGCAGUAACAC
rnacentral:rRNA from 1 species